rnacentral:lncRNA from 1 species
GGUAACUCAAAAAGAAUACUCUUCUUCCUCCAAUUAAAAAUAGUAUUGGAUUGAUUGUAUCUAGCCCUCACAUUCCUCCCAAAAAGGCGUUGAUUUAAAUUUUCUAGCAUCUCUAAAAUCUCCACACCAGACAAUGGUUUAGGCUUAUCCCUUUUCUCAAUAGUCCCUUCGAAAUGAGCUGCAUCCUUGCACCACUUAUGGCCUUGUGGCAGGAACCUUCUAUGUCCCAUGUAACACAUUUUUUAUGU